UCCCGCAACGAGCGCAACCCUUAUCCUUUGUUGCCAGCGGUUCGGCCGGGAACUCAAAGGAGACUGCCAGUGAUAAACUGGAGGAAGGUGGGGAUGACGUCAAGUCAUCAUGGCCCUUACGAGUAGGGCUACACACGUGCUACAAUGGCAUAUACAAAGAGAAGCGACCUCGCGAGAGCAAGCGGACCUCAUAAAGUAUGUCGUAGUCCGGAUCGGAGUCUGCAACUCGACUCCGUGAAGUCGGAAUCGCUAGUAAUCGUGGAUCAGAAUGCCACGGUGAAUACGUUCCCGGGCCUUGUACACACCGCCCGUCACACCAUGGGAGUGGGUUGCAAAAGAAGUAGGUAGCUUAACCUUCGGGAGGGCGCUUACCACUUUGUGAUUCAUGACUGGGGUGAAGUCGUAACAAGGUAACCGUAGGGGAACCUGCGGUUGGAUCACCUCCUUACCUAAAGAA
rnacentral:rRNA from 1 species